UCCAGAUGACAAUCUCAGAGGUGGAGCUGAGGAGAGAAACCUAUACUACCCCAACCAAAAAGACCUCAACGACUUGAUCAGAGAUCUUGGUCUCACCAAGUCCAAUGCCGAGCUUUUGACGUCUAGGCUCAACCAGUGGAACUUGUUGGAUAAAAGUGUGCAAGUUGCAGAUCAAAGGAAGCGUCACCAACCUUUUUGCAGCUUCUUCCCCCGUCAAGAUGGGCUCUGCUUCUGCCACAAAGUAACCAGAAUGAGUGGCGCCUCUGCAUUGACAGUUCAUCCAGGAGCUUCAAAGCCGUGCUGCUGCAUAAUGGUAACAUGUACCCGUCGCUUCCCCUGGCUCACUCGGUGCACCUCAAAGAGGAUUACAACAGCAUCAAGACCUGGCUGGACGCCUUGAAGUAUGAUGAGUACGGCUGGGGAGGUCAUCGGAGACUUCAAAAUGGUUGCAUUCCUGAUGGGUCUCCAAGGCGGUUUUACCAAGUUUACCUGCUAUCUUUGCCUUUGGGAUAGCAGGGACACCAAGGCGCACUACCACGGGCGGGACUGGCCACAGUGGACCGAGUUCUCUGUGGGGAGGAACAACGUCAAAUGGGAGCCACUGGUGGACCCCCGGAAGGUGCUGAUGCCACCACUGAACAUCAAAUUGGGUCUUAUGAAACAAUUUGUCAGAGCUGUAGAUAAGGAGUCGGCAGCCUUCAAGUACCUUCAAGACUUCUUCCCUAAGCUGUCUGAGUUAAAGGUCAAAGCCGGUGUCUUCAUCAGACCACAGAUAAAGAAGAUCCUGGAGUGCAAUUAAUUCCCCAAGAAGUUCACUAGUAAGGAGAAAGCGGCUUGGGACAGCUUUGUCGCAGUGGUUAGUGGCUUCUUGGGCAAUCACAAGGUCGAAAACUAUGUGGAGCUGGAAUGAGACUUUGGUGAAGAACUACGGCACAAUGAGAUGUAGGAUGUCCCUCAAAGUCCAUAUCCUUGAUGCUCAUCUUGAUAAAUUCAAGAAGUACCUGGGAGUGUACUGGGAGGAGCAAGGUCGUGGAGGAGCACUUUCUAUGGCAGCUCCUCUCAAACAUCGAAAAGGGCACCCCCAGUGGCAGCUGUCCCUGUACACACAAAGCGACUCAGCACUUGGCCUAUAGACAGCCAUCAGCCUGCCGGUCGGUAAGGCAAGUGAUUGCUACAUGUACAGUCCCCCAUAGAUUGUUUUGCGGGUCAUUUUAAAUUUGGCCUUCUCUUGCGAAUGUCACGGGAUCUUUAACGUGCAAUGCGAAGCAGACCACGCGUGUUUUGAGCGGUUAAUGACGCAGGAAUAACUAGGGCCGCCACUGGAUUCAAACCGUGCAGCUCUGCAAAAGGCAGCGUAGCCACUCCCGCUGGGAUGCCGUCGCUUGCAAGGGCGCAAGCGGUGGGGCAGUGGCUCGCGCUGCACUACGAACCGAGUGACUCACAUUCCAUAUCCAGCCAGGUCCAACAUCAGUGCCAUCUUGAACACCCUCUACCCUUCACCAUCCAGCACGGACCGGCGAAGUGAUGUAUGGUCAAUCAAUUCUCAUGACUAACGGCGGCAUGGGUAGACCUAGAGUAGUUUUGAUAAUCAUGUUCCAUAGCAAACCUGACUUGGUACAAUACUUAUACACUGACAGUGGCUGAAUUAAGAACAGCUAUACAUGUGGUGAAAUACAGAAAUAAAAUAACACGGCGAUGGGUGGA